rnacentral:rRNA from 1 species
CCUACGGGAGGCAGCAGUGGGGAAUAUUGCACAAUGGGGGAAACCCUGAUGCAGCGACGCCGCGUGAGUGAAGAAGGAUCUAGGUAUGGAAAGCUCCAUCAGUAGGGAAGAAAAUGACGGUACCUGAUUAAGAAUGCACGGCUAACUACGUGCAAGCAGCGGCGGUAAUACGUAGGGGGCGAGCGUUAUCCGGAUUUACUGGGUGUAAAGCGUGCGUAGACGGCAGGGCAAGUCUGAAGUGAAAUGCCCGGGCUUAACCCCGGAACUGCCGGGGAAACUGGGGUGCUAGAGUGCAGGAUGGGCAGGCGGAAUGCGUAGUGUAGCGGUGAAAUGCUUAGAUAUUACGAGGAACACCGAUGGCGAAGGCAGCUUACUGCACCGUAACUGACGUUGAGGCUCGAAAGCGUGGGGAGCGAACAGGAUUAGAUACCCGGGUAGUC